AACCAUUUUCCGAAAAAGGAAAAAAAAAAGUAGAAAACUUAUUGGCAGAAAAAAUCACUAAACUCCUAUGACAAAGGGUACCAAAUUUUGAGAAGUGAAUGGCAGAAAACUGUGUUGAAUGUAUCAAUGAAACUGUCAUGCUUGAUGGAUACUUAACAGAUCUUUCUGAAACAUUUUCUCUGAAUUCUUUAUGGUACAAAACUACAAAUAUUCAAUGGUGAAGACUGAUGGUGAAUAAGAAUAUCAACAUCUGUUAUUAACAUAGUUUAGUAAAAUAUUUGUAGCUACGAUCGAAAGGAUAUCAGUCAAAAAUCAAAAGCACUGGCUACAGAAGAUGUUCCGAAAUUUAUUGAUGAGGUACCGAAAGAGACUUUUAGAUAUUCAGUGUAAUUGGUGGACGCUGACGGCAUGGGUACCUGAAGUUUUUCUUCACAGAAAGUUGAUAACUAGACAACAAAAGAUGAAUCCAUGUUUGCUGCAGGCAACCUAACAUUCACGGGAUCCAUUCAGAAUUGCUAAUUUCAUAUUAAUCCAUUAAAAUAUUGAUAGUAUUCAAAA